rnacentral:lncRNA from 1 species
GAAUUAAGAAAUAUUUUCAAAAUAAAUAAUUGAUAGUCAUAUUUAUUAUGAAACGUAGUGCCAAAUUGCGGAAACGUAAAACGCCGAAAAAUAUAUAGUCAAUUAUAAAUUAAUUUAAUUUUUAUUGAUGUUUUUACCUGAGUUUACCUGUAAAACGAAUGCGCGCAAACGUAGUGCGCCCAAUUGCACAAGAUCUGGUGGUAGAAUCUCUAACGAUUUUGUUGACAAUAUGCAGAUAAAUAAAUCCUUUCAGCCAAAAGUUGUGUUCUUUCUAUGUAACGACAUCAGACAUGGUUUUAAACAAACAAAAAUUCAGAAGAAAGCAAGAAAAUGAGACAUCAUAAGUGAUUUUUUGACAAAAAAGAACUGAGAUCAAACAAACCACAUGUUGAUUUAAAAGAAAUAAUCAACAGGUCAUGAGGAGAAUGAAAAAUUGACCAAAAAUUAUGGAUGUCUUUGCUCAAGCAUACAACAUCUCACAAAAUAUUUAUGCUGUUAUAUUUAACAAUUAGUUGGAACUUGAUUAAACUUUCAAAGACUGAUUAUAAAAGUCCAAUUCCCAGAUUCCUUCCCAAAACUGAUAUGGAUGUUGACAUAAUUUUACUUUUCUUAAACUGAUUUCUAUAAAAUUGUAGUGUCCAUAUGAAUAUUUGUCUGAAUCUGGAUAAGAUUUCAUAAUUCUUCUGUUCUUAAAUGGUUGAAAAUUAAGUGCUAUAAGAUUUUUUUUCAGUAUUUUAGUUUAUCUCAACUUAGUCAAGCAGCAUGUGAAGGAUUGUACUUUAGUAGGACACUUUGGUAUGAUCUAUAACAGACAGGUCUAAUUUCUGGCACACAUUUGGUUAUCAACAAGAUGUACGUAUUAAACAGCUUUAAUGAUGAUUUAGCAUAAUAUAUUAACAGUAUUUAAAUUGACAGUUAUAUAUAUCCUAUAUUUGUCAUUUUAAAAAUGAAAUAUGAUUAAUUAAUGACACUAUUUAUAAAUGUGUAAUUCAGGUUUAUAAGUCUGUAGACACUCUGUAACAUUUAUAGUAAAAUACAUUACAGACAUAUUUUGAUGUUCUUGAUUUUUGAUCAGUGGUUGUAUCCUUCUUCAUUAUAAAGUGUGAAAUAU